rnacentral:misc_RNA from 1 species
CAAUUUCUGCCGUUCAGCUGCAAAAACUCUCUUGAAUGCUCUUAAUGAUGUGGUAUUGUUCAAAAUUGGGCAUAUGGGGACUUUGGGCUAAUUUGGCGCUGUGCUUCAUGAGGCUUUCNNNGUUCUUUUCCAAAUAGCCAAUGUUCCUAAAACCAGACUUGUUAGUGAACUGGUUAGCUGACACCAUCUGACUGGUUCAAUUCAACUGGUUUGAUUUGGAAAGAAAUAAGGGAAUCAAAUGUAAUAAAAGAGCAGGUAAAGUAAAAAAGGCUGUUCAUUGCUCUAAUUCUCAGCUUAACUGCCGAGUCUAAUC